rnacentral:lncRNA from 1 species
GACUUAUAUGGUGGGAGUUAUUCCACUUAAAUUGAGAAGUUAAGAAAAGGACAAAAGCGUGGCAUGGCAUGGGAGGGUAGCGAGUCGGUGAGGCGUUGUGUAGUUGUGUUAUUUUUUAGCAUCCACUAACUGCGGGAGUUUCAACUGACUAUUGUAGGAGUUUAAACUCACUUUCUACGAGAGUUUCAACAAACUACUAUAGGAGUUUCAACUUCGUGUUAAACCCU